AUGGCGCUGGAGGGAGUAGCCGGGCUGUUGAGGGGGCUGAAGUUGACGGAGGAGGAGAAGAAGGGAGUCAAGGUUCGAUCUCAUGGGGGGGGGGGCAAGGAGGCGGCUCUGCAGGCUGUUGGUAAGGUAAUGUCAGAAAAAUUGGCACACCGCGACGCGAUCUGUCUCUCUCUUGGCAAGGUAUGGUGUCCGAUUAAAGGGAUCGACUGCAGAGAGAUUGGGGCCAACCAGUUCCUAUUCACUUUCCACCAAGAGUCAGGGAAGCGCAAGGCGAUCGAGGAUGGACCAUGGAUGUUUGAUAAGGAAUUGGUGGUGGUUGAGGAUUAUGUGCCCAGUAAAAGGCCAGAAGACUAUGCUCACAACAACAUCCCCAUCUGGGUUAGGGUUUAUAACCUACCCCUCGGCAUGAUGAACGAAGAAGCAGCAGAGGACAUCGGAAACAUCAUUGGCGUGUUUGUGGAGGCAGAUACUGGACCAGAUGGGAAAGCUUUUGGAAGAUUCCUUAGAGUCAAAAUCAGGAUGCAGAUCGACAAACCAUUGAUGAGGGGUUUUACUCUAGAUGAAGACGUUGUUGUGGGAGAGGAAGGGGCAAUGGGAAGGCAGACAUGGUGA
rnacentral:rRNA from 1 species